rnacentral:lncRNA from 1 species
AUGGCUGAUGAAGAGUCUUAAUAUUCAUGGACUAUGAUUCCUACGUGUCUGGAACUCUGUGAUCGAGAAUCAGGAUUCUCUGAUCAUGAGUCCCACACAUUUUGGGGACCGGGGUCAAGAGUCCCACCGGUUUGGGACUCUUCGAUCAAGGUUUCAUAUUGAUGGACAUUGAUACCCGAUUGCCCAUCGAAUUUGGACUCAAUAUAUAUGAG